rnacentral:tRNA from 13 species
GUUGGUAUAUCUCAGUGGUAGAGCAUUCGACUGCAGAUCGAGAGGUCUCCGGUUCAAACACGAGAGUCCAAUU